UUUAAGUUAUUUAUAGAUUAUGUUGCUAUUUUCUGAGUAGUAUAUAUAUAUAUAUAUAUAAGUAUAAAAUUCAAUACUUCCUUUGCGAUUAUAGAAUAUCUUUUUCAUAUUAAAUUUGUAAUUUCUUAGAAGACUUUAGCUUUAAUUUUAAUUCAAACCGCUACUAUAUCGAAUCGAUAACGUCGCAUGUGACACAAAAAUGGUAAGGAUGUCAAGUGACCUCCAGGGCAAGGAACGCGAAAAACUAUUGCAUGUCUUGUCUUUUCUACUCUUCGCCUGUAAUAUUAAGCACGUGUUGCCGAUAUCUCAUCGGCGAGGAGUUAAUGCGCAUAUGCAUGUAAAGAUUUUCUUAAUCUUAAUCAAGCAGUUUGUAUACCUUGAUACCAGUGUUUGAUAUUUGAACUCCCUUUGUAUUAAGAAAUAUUGGCAGUUUACUGAUGUAAACAAUACUGACGUUUUAAUUAUAAAAUACAAGCGAUGGAUCAUUUUACCACACAAAGUGCAAAAAAUCAUUCAACUCAAAUAAAAACUAAGACUAAAACAAACAAAAGGAAAAUGUUUCCUAAAAAAAAUGUGUAUCAUAAUUUACAAUAUAUGAAGAAAGAAUUAACUAUUUCUUUGUAUAAUACAUCUUCAUGUUUACCAAGUUAUAAAAGUUAUACAAGUUUGAAAGAAUGUCUUUUCAACAAGGCUGAGACUGGACAAGAAAUAUAUCAGUUUAUUGUAGAAAAAACUAUGAAAAAUAAUAUUGUCGCUGAUUAUGAAGGUUCUAUUCCACUUGUUUCUCCGCUUUUAGAGCAAUUUAAAAAGAGACAUACAAAAUUCCAUUAUUUUAGUGUUCUGAAGCAUUUAACCCAAAAACAAGAAUCUAGUGAAGUAAAGUCAGAAUGCAAAUAUCAGGUUAAUAAGAAGCAAUUAAAGUUAUUUUUUGAUCUUAUAUUCUCUAAAGUAAUUCCUUUGAACCUGUUUGGAAAGUUACGGAAUUUAAAAAAAAUAAAACUAGCUAUGUUUCACUUAUUGGACACACCAUGCUUUAAAUCAUUUAAUUUGACACCUUUUAUUGAAAAAUUAGAUAUCUCUAGUAUUACAUGGCUGCAAGAUAUUAAAACUACAAGGACACAAUGGUACAUUAUAGCAAAACUUGUAAAAUGGCUUUUUGUCGGAUUUCUUUUAAAGAUAUUGUAUACUUAUUUUCAUAUGACAUUAGCUUCUAAAAAUAAUGAAAGAUUAUAUAUUAUGCGUUCAACUUGGAACUCUAUUCAAAGAAAAUUUAUUAAGAAAGGAAAACGUUCAAAUACCUUGCAACCUGAUAUUAACUGUAAGGAAUGGAAGCCACCAAUAGGCAGAUAUGUAUUAAUUCCUAAAAAUUCUGAUGUGCGACCUAUAUUUAAGCCAGAGUACAUUAAACCAAAAUAUUAUACCAUUGACCAUAAGAAUCCUGAGACAAAUCAUUUGAAUCUAAUAUUUAAAUUUUUAAAACAAUUGCAUACUACAGUAUAUGGAAACACUAAUUUUGGAAACGAAUGGGAAUCAAUUGUUCAACAUAAACGUAAUGAAGGAACAACACAUUUAUAUUUUGUGUCUUGUGAUGUAACAAAUGCUUUUGGUUCUAUAAUACAAGAGGAAUUAUAUAACAUUAUACAAUCACUCUGUAAAGAUCUUCCUGAAAAUUUGAUACUCAAGUAUUAUGCAGUUAAAAGUAAAAAAUUUAUGGAGGAGAUUGUAUGUUAUAAACAAUAUUUCUCUGAUCCAAAUUUGUUAUUACCUUUAGCACCUGGUACAUUAUAUUCAAAUACAAAUAUGAGAUGGCAACAAGUAAAAAAAAAAUGGCUAUUAGAAAAAAUUUCACAAGUUAUUUUUCAACAAAGAGUAAAAAUAAAUGAGGAGGUUCAUGUUAUAACAAAAGGAGUUGUUCAAGGUGCAAUUACAUCAUCAGUUUUAUCAGAUAUAUAUUAUAAUUUUAUAUUACAUAAAGCAAUGUCAACAUAUUUAACAACUGGAAAAAUUAUAAAAUAUGUGGAUGACAUUUUAUAUGUCACUGAAAGUGAAAAUGUUGCAAGACAAUUUUUACAACUUACAAAAGAAGGUAUCCCACAGUAUAAUUGUUACUUUAAACCAUCAAAGACUCGUACUAAUGUUAUGGCUUGUGAUGGAAACAUAGCUGUGAACAAUAUUACUUACAUUGGCUAUGAAAUUAAUUGUACUACUUUAGAAGUAGAAUAUAAACAUUCACAUACUAAUUUCAGUCAUGCAAUAAAAGUUUCUAAAAAGGAUGAUUUACCUCCUCUAGUAUAUUUAAGAAAGCGGUUAAGUAAUAUAGCACGUUUGAAAUUAUCAAAAUUUAUUUUGAACAGAACAAUUAAUUCUGAAAAUACUAUAAUGAGGAUCAUAAAACAAGCAUGCUUAUUACAGGCAGAAUAUACACGCAUUUUGAUAAAAGAGUUAUUUGAUAAUGAGCCAAGAAAUAUCCAAGGUAUACUUUUAGUUAUGCAAAAUAUUGAUAAACGAAUUGCAAGACACAUUAUAAAAACAUCUUUAAUAGGAGGAAUAGUUUACUAGAUGACGUAUGAAGAAAGUUUUGAAAACAAUGCGAUUGGUCGGAAUCGCGAAGAAAAUAGUAAAGGUCUCUUUUUGCAAAUUUUGAAUCUGGACCUGUAAUGAAAUUUAAACUAUACGUUAGUUAUAUACAUAAGUUACAAACGGUUAAAAGUGAAAAAACCGCAGUUUCUCGCGACUUUUAGCUCAGAAUCUAAAGAUUUUUACAUCUUUCGAUGGCUGUUGCUUGUUUCCGUAUCAACUUAUUUCGAUAAAAUCUUCAGCAUGUAUGUAUAGUUUUCAUAAAAAUUUCAAAUCUCCUUACGCGAACGAAAGUAGAUUAACCUAAACAGCAGGAUGCUCAGAGAUCCUCAAAUCGAACGGUACAUGGGCAGCCGCUUACUUCAUACAAAUCGUAGAGAAGAAGAUUAUGACAUUUGAAGACGUAAACCAUCUUGCGCUUUUAUAAAAAAAAUAAAUAAAAAUAAUAAUAAAAUAAAAAAAUUUCAUACACGCACCGUAAUCAUCUGAACCACGGGUGUCCGCAGAAAAAUCACAGACACAAAAACAAACUGUUCAUAGAGAAAUUGUAACGAAAAUAGCAAUCGUUUUAUAGUAGAAUAAACGUUCAAUAUAGCCUCUGUUUUCUCGCAAACAAAGUACAUAUUAAGCACGGUACAUACAAUACGAUCUAUAUACAUUACACACCCUACAUACCCAAAUCACUUAAGUUGGAACUAAAUAAAAAAGUUUAAGAAAUAACAAAGAAUACAAAAAUAAAGGAAAUAAAUAAGUUCAAAGAACUAAAAAUAAAAAGGCCCCAAAAAAAUCUACAGCAGAAUAACUUGAACUUAUAUUAAAUCUACAAUUAACUUCAACUUUAUAUUUAUGCAAUUCUCUUAACGUUUUUCAUUGGCUGUGGCGAAAUGAUUCUGUCUUUCUAGAACUGUUUUACCCUCUUACUAAAUUUCUAAAAUCGCCAAAACAGAUUACGUAACAACGUAGCAGUGGAGAGUCCGUUCAAAAAAAAAAUUACGAUAUUUUUCGUCAACGCUUUCGUUUUCUUUGUGUAGUUGGGUAUGCCUAUUGAGAAAACGAACAGGUUCCUCACCAGAUGUGGUGAUUUUAAAAUGGUUAGAAUUACCUUGCAAAAAUAGUAUCAUUUCGGCAACGAAAGCAAUAACUUAAGAGAGCUACUCAACGCAAUAAAUAUAACUUUUCAUUUGGUUGUACAUUAUGUUGAAGUAAUUCGACUUCUUUCCUGGUCUUCAAAGCCAUUAAGAGUUGUCUAGUACUAAAUCAAUUUGAAGAGCCUCUCAGAUUCAUAGUCUUUUUGCAACAUGACUUAUACAGAUGGUGCAGCGGGGUAUAAACAGCCCAGUUUCGAAAUUAUACAAAAAUCCAUAUAUGCGUGCGGAUUUGGAUUAGCAUACACUGUAUUUAUACUUACACUUAUACUCAAAUAUAUUUCUGUUACACAUUCGUCCACGCGUUCCUCUAACAGAUAACCUGAACACAUUAAUGUGUAUUAUUACACAUUACUCCAUAAAACGGUACUUUAAUUAAUCCUUCGAAUAUAAUUUUAAACAAUUUUCGUUGUAGUUUCAUUUGGUUUCUUCAUUUUUUAUUUCAUGUGCAUGUAUGUGAACAUUGUAAUAUGCAGUGAUCAGUAAUUUGAGUGGAAAAUAUGUGUAAUUCAUGCAAAACAGCAUUUACCCAUAUUUAAUAGCACCUCAAGAAUAUUUAAUAUGUAUGUGAUUUUUCUGUGGACAUCCGCUAACGAGACGAUUAUGAUGCGUGUAUGAAAUUUAUAUAAACAUUGUUUAUGUUCUAUUAUUUAUUAAUUAUUUGUGGAGAGAAAGGAUUAAAGGGAACAUUAAUAGUAACAUAAUCUUCUUUACUCGAAAAUUCCACGAGGCGGUUUUCGAUAUGCUAUUAUGGAUUUUAAUGAGUAAGCAGAUAUAAUGAUGAAUCUACGAUCUUUCUUACAAAACAACGUGAAGGAUGAUUUACGCCUUUAAAUGUCUUAAUUUUCUUCUCUAUGAUUUGUACGAGGUAAGCUGCUGCCUAUUUAAGGAUCCCUGUGUACCCCGCUGCUUAGGUUAACCUACUUUCGUUCGUGUAAGGAGGUUUGCUCAUAUACAGGGAUAUUUCGGCCAAUUGUUAAUUGUCAGUAAUUAAUAAAAAACAAAACAGAUAACAUAAUCUUUUUUGUUCUAGAUUUUCAUCUUAUUUCAGCUUCAAGAAUCAUCCCUUAAAAUGUUUACAACUACAGCCGAACGUCCAUACGUAUACACGUACAACUGACAUAAAUAUAAAAAAUCUGUAGUUUAAAUAUUCAUUACAAUUAUUUGGGCGACCUCUACUUUGUUCUUUGCGAUUCCGGCCAAUUGCAAUUUUGUCAAAACUUUUUUACGCGCCAUCUAGUAAACUGUUCCUCCUAAUUUUUCAAAAAAGCUCAAGUCGUUUGGCUCAAUGUCCAAAACGUUAUUCUGUUUAAUAGAGUGUUUGAUCGAUUAUGUGAGUAGCUGUACAUAAAUAUCAAUGUUUAUUUUAGGUGAUACAGAAAUAAUAGAUAAAUUAAGUUUCAACAAA